UACAGAGGUCCCAAGCGUUGUUCGGAUUCACUGGGCGUAAAGGGUGCGUAGGCGGUCGGGUAAGUCUGAUGUGAAAUCUCGGAGCUCAACUCCGAAACUGCAUUGGAUACUAUUCGGCUUGAGGUCUGGAGGGGGGACUGGAAUUCUCGGUGUAGCAGUGAAAUGCGUAGAUAUCGAGAGGAACACCAGUGGCGAAGGCGAGUCCCUGGACAGGUCCUGACGCUGAGGCGCGAAAGCUAGGGGAGCAAACAGG
rnacentral:rRNA from 1 species